rnacentral:lncRNA from 1 species
GUUAUAAUUAGGGUAUAUAUGUAAUAUUCUAAAAUAUAAUGCUGUUAAAUUAAAUUACACAUUUAAAUAUAAGGCUGUUGGUAAUGGAUUCACUUCAGUUCCUGUGGAGUUUGUCCUUCAUUAAAAGAUUGCUCACCUAAUGGUAAAAUCUCAUCCUCUACAUGUGUUUACUUUGACAAAUGGCUUUCGUUCUAGAUUAAUACUUUUAAUCAUGUUUAACGAUGGGUAUUAUACUUUAAUUACUAUAGAAUUUAAAUGUAUAAAUUAUCAUAUCAUGUCAUCAUCAUUUAAUUAUUUUUAUUGAUAAUUUUAACCAAUUUGGAUGGGUUUUUUUUUUGAAUAUUUGAUCUGGGAUUGGAUUUGGAUUUAUUUUCAAGUUUCGACCCUAAUUGAAUAUAAAUCAAUUAGUAUUUUGUAUUGGAUCAGAAGUCAAUAGCAGAAACUGAUGCUUUACCUUACAGGAUUGAAAUAUUAUACAUAUCCCCACCAUUCACCAUUUUAUAUUCUUCAAUCUUCAUAGAUUGAGAUCUGUGUGAAUGUGACACAGCCAUUGAAAAUUAAAUUAUAUUCCCACAAGCUAUAUUGCCAUAUCAAUUCUGGGAGAUUUUUGGUGAAAUAAUAUAAUAUUCUGUUGAUGGAAAAUUGGAAAUAUGGAAUUUAGAUAUCAAUAGAUAUUUUAAAUCUUUUUUUCGAUGUGUUGUUCUUCACUUCAGUUUUAAAUGACAGCCCAUGGCCGACAGUCGUAAUAUUGAAGUUUUGACAUUUCCCCUUCCCUUAUUCAAAUUUUCUCAUUUCCAUUGAAAUUUGAAAUUUACUUUGCUGGUUUGAAUUUCAAUUAAUGGUUUCUUUUUUUUUAAGCUUUGAGCAGUCUAUAAUUUUAAUGAUAUACUAUUUGGUUUUUUUUUUAAAAACAUUUAAAUUUCAUUAAAAAAAACAAUACUCAAGUUACAUCGAGUAUAGAAAUAAAAGUAAAAAAAAAAUAAGCAAGAAGUUAACUCUUUUUCAUUAAUUAUGUAGUAUAAUUAUACAGUAUCUAAAUACGCUGUCUUAGGAGGUUGAUCUCUUGUAUUUUUAUUAUAGAUGUUUUUAAAGAGUGCCAACAGCUUUUCUUAUAACACUCCGGAUCAAAAGAAAGACUGAUGUUUUUAAUGACAUUCUUAAAGACUACCUACCUUAAGGAGGUCUACAUGUCUGUAUCUUUCAUUUUUUUCCGUCUACAUAUGUCAUGACAAACACCUAAAGGGGAAUAUUAAUUGGUUUUGGUGUAAUUUUUUUUUAAAUACG